rnacentral:rRNA from 1 species
UACAGAGGGUGCGAGCGUUAAUCGGAAUUACUGGGCGUAAAGAGCUCGUAGGCGGUCUGUCGCGUCGGAUGUGAAAAUCCAGGGCUCAACCCUGGACCUGCAUUCGAUACGGGCAGACUAGAGUUCGGCAGGGGAGACUGGAAUUCCUGGUGUAGCGGUGAAAUGCGCAGAUAUCGGGAGGAACACCAGUAGCGAAGGCGGCACUCUGGGCCGGUACUGACGCUGAGGAGCGAAAGCGUGGGGAGCGAACAGG